rnacentral:rRNA from 1 species
AGAGUUUGAUCCUGGCUCAGAAUCAACGCUGGCGGCGUGCCUCAGACAUGCAAGUCGAACGCGAAAGUCCCCUUCGGGGGAUAAGUAGAGUGGCGCACGGGUGAGUAACACGUAGGUAAUCUACCUUCGGGUGGGGAAUAACCCAGGGAAACUUGGGCUAAUACCGCAUAAUGCAGCGGCACCACAUGGUGACAGUUGUUAAAGCGGGGGAUCUUCGGAUCUCGCGCCUGAAGAGGAGCCUGCGGCAGAUUAGCUAGUUGGUAAGGUAACGGCUUACCAAGGCGACGAUCUGUAGCCGGCCUGAGAGGGCGGUCGGCCACACUGACACUGACAUACGGGUCAGACUCCUACGGGAGGCAGCAGUCGGGAAUUUUGGGCAAUGGGCGAAAGCCUGACCCAGCAACGCCGCGUGAAGGAUGAAAUCCCUCGGGAUGUAAACUUCGCAAGAAUGGGAAGAAUUAGUAGGGGUUAAUACCCCCUAUGAUGACGGUACCAUUUGUAAGCUCCGGCUAACUCCGUGCCAGCAGCCGCGGUAAUACGGGGGGAGCAAGCGUUGUUCGGAUUUACUGGGCGUAAAGGGCGCGUAGGCGGCCAGCACAAGUCGGUUGUGAAAUCUCCGGGCUUAACUCGGAAAGGUCAACCGAUACUGUGCGGCUAGAGUGCGGAAGGGGCAACUGGAAUUCUCGGUGUAGCGGUGAAAUGCGUAGAUAUCGAGAGGAACACCUGCGGCGAAGGCGGGUUGCUGGGCCGACACUGACGCUGAUGCGCGAAAGCCAGGGGAGCGAACGGGAUUAGAUACCCUAGUAGUCC